UACGUAGGGUGCGAGCGUUAAUCGGAAUUACUGGGCGUAAAGCGUGCGCAGGCGGUUUUGUAAGCCAGAUGUGAAAGCCCCGGGCUUAACCUGGGAAUGGCAUUUGGGACUGCAAGGCUUGAGUGCGGCAGAGGAGACUGGAAUUCCUGGUGUAGCAGUGAAAUGCGUAGAUAUCAGGAGGAACACCAAUGGCGAAGGCAGCUCUCUGGGACGGUACUGACGCUGAGACGCGAAAGCGUGGGGAGCGAACAGG
rnacentral:rRNA from 1 species